UUGACACUAGUCAAAGACACAGCAGAGUGCUAAAAUAAAUACUUCAGCCUACAUUGGAGCUUGGGAAUGGCAUUAGGCAGCUGCUUGAGGUAAUUAGCAACAUUAAGGCAACUUCUCAAAGGCCUCUAGUGAAAGUAAGGAACAUCCAUGGGAGAGCGUGACUCUCGGAAGACCACAGAAAAAUCAUCAGAAAGGAAACUGGCUCUUCCUGAGGGGGCUGCCGCCAGUGUGUAAAAAUAGACACUCUUGGGGAAUCUAUGACUGCUUGGGAUUGAGUCGCAAAUUGGCAGAUGAUUUUAGCAUCAACAUAAACCUUCAGUUCACUGAUGAGGCUUUGAAAAGUUGGGGCUAAAAGGAUUUACUAGACUGGUAGAUCAGGAGGAUGCUAUGGAUAUAGGCUAGUAGGAUGUCAGCAGUGUAUUUCAACACCAAUCUUAUCACAUCCUUGUGGACAAGAUUUUGCUACCUGUUAUGAACUCUAACAUGGGAUACUGGUUCAGAAGCUCAGCUGCUGACUGGAUUGGAAUCUUAACAAAGAUCUGCGUAUUUCAAGGGCCAUUGAAGUCCACUGGCAACACAAAAAUCAGGAUGACUGGCAAUGACCCAGGAUGCGGUAGAUGACCUCAGUGUCUUCUAUGUCUGACCAAGCUCUAAGUACUCUACGAUGCCUACCUGCUUCAGCCGACUUUGUGGACUUGGAACAAAUUGAUCUCAUCCACCCCUUGCACUGGGGGAUGUCUUCACAUGCUUGAGGUGGACAUCUCUCUACCUGACAGGAAAGCUCCUCACAUGCAGAAAGUGCUUAAAGAUGUUUUUUAUGAGUUUAUUGAUGAGGUAGAGCCAGGGGGCUAAGUUGCGGUGUAUAAUAUGAUUCAGCC